UGGGGAAUAUUGCACAAUGGAGGGAACUCAGAUGCAGCGACGCCGCGUGAACGAAGAAGGCUUUCGAGUCGUAAAGUUCUUUUAUAUGGGAAGAUAAUGACGGUACCAUAAGAAAAAGCCCCGGCUAACUACGUGCCAGCAGCCGCGGUAAUACGUAGGGGGCUAGCGUUGUCCGGAAUCACUGGGCGUAAAGGGUUCGCAGGCGGAAAUGCAAGUCAGGUGUAAAAGGCAGUAGCUUAACUACUGUAAGCAUUUGAAACUGCAUAUCUUGAGAAGAGUAGAGGUAAGUGGAAUUUUUAGUGUAGCGGUGAAAUGCGUAGAUAUUAAAAAGAAUACCGGUGGCGAAGGCGGCUUACUGGGCUCAUUCUGACGCUGAGGAACGAAAGCGUGGGUAGCAAACAGG
rnacentral:rRNA from 1 species